AGUCAUAUGCUUGUCUCAAAGAUUAAGCCAUGCAUGUCUAAGUACAGGCCUGUACACGGUGAAACUGCGAAUGGCUCAUUAUAUCAGUUGUGGUUCCUCAGAUCGUUGCAACAGUUUGGAUAACUGUAGUAGUUCUAGAGCUAAUACAUGCGACUAUACUCUGCUCCGCGAGGAGAGGAGUGCUUUUAUUAGACUAAAACCAACGGUGUCCGGCGGCCGGUUUCGGCUGGUCGUCGGCCCACGGCGGUGGUGACUCUGGAUAACUUUGGGCUGAUCGCACGGCCUCGCGCCGGCGACGUAUCUUUCAAAUGUCUGCCCUAUCAAUUGUCGACGGUAAGCGAUAUGCCUACCGUGAUUGUAACGGGUAACGGAGAAUUAGGGUUCGACUCCGGAGAGGGAGCAUGAGAAACGGCUACCACAUCCAAGGAAGGCAGCAGGCGCGCAAAUUACCCACUCCCGACACGGGGAGGUAGUGACGAUAACUAACAAUACGGGACUCUUAUGAGGCCCCGUAAUUGGAAUGAGUACACUUUAAAUCCUUUAACGAGGAUCUACUGGAGGGCAAGUCUGGUGCCAGCAGCCGCGGUAAUUCCAGCUCCAGCAGCGUAUAUUAAAGUUGUUGCAGUUAAAAAGCUCGUAGUUGGAUCUCGGGCCGCCGGCGGCGGUGCGGAUCCAUGUCCGUCGACUGCCGUCGGCGCCUAAACGGCGGGACGCUGCGGUUGCCCUUAGCUGGGUCGACCGCGGCACCCGCCCGAUUUACUUUGGAAAAAUUAGAGUGUUCAAAGCAGGCGUGCUCGCCUGAAUAACGUUGCAUGGAAUAAUGGAAUAGGACCACGCAUCCUAUUUUGUUGGUUUGCGGAGCGUGUGGUAAUGAUUAACAGGGACUGCCGGGGGCAUUCGUAUUGCGGCGCGAGAGGUGAAAUUCUAAGACCGUCGCAAGACGAACUACUGCGAAAGCAUUUGCCAAGAAUGUUUUCAUUAAUCAAGAACGAAAGUCAGAGGUUCGAAGACGAUCAGAUACCGUCCUAGUUCUGACCAUAAACGAUGCCGACUAGCGAUCGGCCGGCGUUGUUUCAAUGACCCGGCCGGCAGUUACCGGGAAACCAAAGUCUUUGGGUUCCGGGGGAAGUAUGGUUGCAAAGCUGAAACUUAAAGGAAUUGACGGAAGGGCACCACCAGGAGUGGRGCCUGCGGCUUAAUUUGACUCAACACGGGGAACCUUAUCAGGCCAGGACACUGCGAGGAUUGACAGAUUGAGAGCUCUUUCUUGAUUCGGUGGAUGGUGGUGCAUGGCCGUUCUUAGUUGGUGGAGCGAUUUGUCUGGUUAAUUCCGAUAACGAACGAGACUCUAUCCUGCUAACUAGUGCGCCGGUGCGUUUACGCUCGCCGGCGAUCACUUCUUAGAGGGACAAGUGGCGCAUAGUCACGCGAGAUUGAGCAAUAACAGGUCUGUGAUGCCCUUAGAUGUUCUGAGCCGCACGCGCGCUACACUGAAAUAAUCAGCCGGCACUCAUCCUGGCCCGAAAGGGCGGGUAAUCCUAUGAACCUAUUUCGUGCUAGGGACUGGGGCUUGCAAUUGUUGCCCACGAACGAGGAAUUCCCAGUAAGCACAAGUCAUCAGCUUGUGUUGAUUACGUCCCUGCCCUUUGUACACACCGCCCGUCGCUACUACCGAUUGAAUGGUUUAGUGAGACCCUCGGAUUCGUCCCGGCGCCGACGGUUCGCCGUCGCGCCGCGGUCGCGAAGAAGACGGUCGAACUUGAUCAUUUA
rnacentral:rRNA from 1 species